AAUGUGUGGCAUACGGCUCAGUAACACGUAGUCAACAUGCCCAGGGGACGUGGAUAACCUCGGGAAACUGAGGAUAAACCGCGAUAGGUCACUACUUCUGGAAUGGGUAAUGACCCAAACCUAUACGGCCCCUGGAUUGGACUGCGGCCGAUCAGGCUGUUGGUGAGGUAAUGGCCCACCAAACCUGUAACCGGUACGGGCUCUGAGAGGAGGAGCCCGGAGAUGGGCACUGAGACAAGGGCCCAGGCCCUAUGGGGCGCAGCAGGCGCGAAACCUCUGCAAUAGGCGAAAGCUUGACAGGGUUACUCUGAGUGAUUUCCGUUAAGGAGAUCUUUUGGCACCUCUAAAAAUGGUGCAGAAUAAGGGGUGGGCAAGUCUGGUGUCAGCCGCCGCGGUAAUACCAGCACCCCGAGUGGUCGGGACGUUUAUUGGGCCUAAAGCAUCCGUAGCCGGUUCUACAAGUCUUCCGUUAAAUCCACCUGCUCAACAGAUGGGCUGCGGAAGAUACUAUGGAGCUAGGAGGCGGGAGAGGCAAGCGGUACUCGAUGGGUAGGGGUAAAAUCCGUUGAUCCAUUGAAGACCACCAGUGGCGAAGGCGGCUUGCCAGAACGCGCUCGACGGUGAGGGAUGAAAGCUGGGGGAGCAAACCGGAUUAGAUACCCGGGUAGUCCCAGCUGUAAACGAUGCAGACUCGGUGAUGAGUUGGCUUUAUGCCAACUCAGUGCCGCAGGGAAGCCGUUAAGUUUGCCGCCUGGGGAGUACGGUCGCAAGACUGAAACUUAAAGGAAUUGGCGGGGGAGCACCACAAGGGGUGAAGCCUGCGGUUCAAUUGGAGUCAACGCCGGG
rnacentral:rRNA from 1 species